GAUGAACGCUGGCGGCGUGCCUAAUACAUGCAAGUCGAGCGCACGGACGAGAAGCUUGCUUCUCUGAUGUUAGCGGCGGACGGGUGAGUAACACGUGGAUAACCUACCUAUAAGACUGGGAUAACUUCGGGAAACCGGAGCUAAUACCGGAUAAUCUUUUGAACCGCAUGGUUCAAAAGUGAAAGACGGUCUUGCUGUCACUUAUAGAUGGAUCCGCGCUGCAUUAGCUAGUUGGUAAGGUAACGGCUUACCAAGGCAACGAUGCAUAGCCGACCUGAGAGGGUGAUCGGCCACACUGGAACUGAGACACGGUCCAGACUCCUACGGGAGGCAGCAGUAGGGAAUCUUCCGCAAAGGGCGAAAGCCUGACGGAGCAACGCCGCGUGAGUGAUGAGGGUCUUCGGAUCGUAAAACUCUGUUAUUAGGGAAGAACAUAUGUGUAAGUAACUGUGCACAUCUUGACGGUACCUAAUCAGAAAGCCACGGCUAACUACGUG
rnacentral:rRNA from 1 species